GAUGAACGCUGGCGGCGUGCCUAAUACAUGCAAGUCGAGCGAACGGACGAGAAGCUUGCUUUUCUGAUGUUAGCGGCGGCCGGGUGAGUAACACGUGGAUAACCUACCUAUAAGACUGGGAUAACUUCGGGAAACCGGAGCUAAUACCGGAUAAUAUUUUGAACCGCAUUGUUCAAAAGUGAAAGACGGUCUUGCUGUCACUUAUAGAUGGAUCCGCGCUGCAUUAGCUAGUUGGUAAGGUAACGGCUUACCAAGGCAACGAUGCAUAGCCGACCUGUGAGGGUGUUCUGGCUCGUUGUGACUGAGAGACGGUCCAGACGCCUACGGGAGACAGCAGUAUUGUAUCGUCCGCAAUGUGCAAAAGCCUGACGGAGCAAAGAAGCGUGAAGGAUGAAGGUCUUCGGAUCGUAAAACUCUGGUAAUAGGGAAGAACAUAUGUGUAAGUAACUGUGCACAGCUUGACGGUACCUAAUCAGAAAGCCACGGAUAACGACGUG
rnacentral:rRNA from 1 species